rnacentral:rRNA from 1 species
GAUGAACGCUGGCGGCGUGCUUAACACAUGCAAGUCGAACGAACCUUCGGGUUAGUGGCGGACGGGUGAGUAACGCGUGGGAAUCUGCCCUCAGGAGGGGGAUAACGGCUGGAAACGGCCGCUAAUACCCCAUAUGCCGCGAGGUGAAAUGAAUUUCGCCUGAGGAUGAGCCCGCGUCUGAUUAGCUAGUUGGUGGGGUAAAGGCCUACCAAGGCGACGAUCAGUAGCUGGUCUGAGAGGAUGAUCAGCCACACUGGGACUGAGACACGGCCCAGACUCCUACGGGAGGCAGCAGUGGGGAAUUUUCCGCAACGGGCGAAAGCCUGACGGAGCAACGCCGCGUGAGGGAUGAAGGCCUCUGGGCUGUAAACCUCUUUUCUCAAGGAAGAAGACCUGACGGUACUUGAGGAAUAAGCCACGGCUAAUUCCGUGCCAGCCGCCGCUGUAA